rnacentral:rRNA from 1 species
AUUGAACGCUGGCGGCAGGCCUAACACAUGCAAGUCGAGCGGAUGAAGGGAGCUUGCUCCUGGAUUCAGCGGCGGACGGGUGAGUAAUGCCUAGGAAUCUGCCUGUUAGUGGGUUAUAACGUCCGGAAACGGGCGCUAAUACCGCAUACGUCCUGAGGGAGAAAGUGGUGGAUCUUCGGACCUCCCGCUAUCAGAUGAGCCUUGGUCGGAUUAGCUAGUUGGUGGGGUAAAGGCCUACCAAGGCGACGAUCCGUAACUGGUAUGAGAGGAUGAUCAGUCACACUGGAACUGAGACACGGUCAAGACUCCUACGGGAGGGAGCAGUGGGGAAUAUUGGACAAUGGGCGAAAGCCUGAUACAGCCAUGCCGAGUGUGAGAAGAAGGUCUUCGGAUUGUAAAGCACUUUAAGUUGGGAGGAAGGGAAGUAAGUUAAUACCUAGCUGUAAUGACGUUACCAACAGAAUAAGCACCGGCUAACUACGUG